rnacentral:rRNA from 1 species
GACGAACGCUGGCGGCGUGCUUAACACAUGCAAGUCGAACGGAAAGGCCCUGCUUUCGUGGGGUGCUCGAGUGGCGAACGGGUGAGUAACACGUGAGUAACCUGCCCUUGACUUUGGGAUAACUUCAGGAAACUGGGGCUAAUACCGGAUAGGAGCUCCUGCUGCAUGGUGGGGGUUGGAAAGUUUCGGCGGUUGGGGAUGGACUCGCGGCUUAUCAGCUUGUUGGUGGGGUAGUGGCUUACCAAGGCUUUGACGGGUAGCCGGCCUGAGAGGGUGACCGGCCACAUUGGGACUGAGAUACGGCCCAGACUCCUACGGGAGGCAGCAGUGGGGAAUAUUGCACAAUGGGCGGAAGCCUGAUGCAGCAACGCCGCGUGCGGGAUGACGGCCUUCGGGUUGUAAACCGCUUUCGCCUGUGACGAAGCGUGAGUGACGGUAAUGGGUAAAGAAGCACCGGCUAACUACGU